rnacentral:rRNA from 1 species
GACGAACGCUGGCGGCGUGCUUAACACAUGCAAGUCGAACGGAAAGGCCCUGCUUUUGUUGGGUGCUCGAGUGGCGAACGGGUGAGUAACACGUGAGUAACCUUCCCUUGACUUUGGGAUAACUUCAGGAAACUUGGGCUAAUACCGGAUAGGAGCUCCUGCUUCAUGGUGUGGGUUGGAAAGUUUCGGCGGUUGGGGAUGGACUCGCGGCUUAUCAGCUUGUUUGUGGGGUAGUGGCUUACCAAGGCUUUGACGGGUAGCCGGCCUGAGAGGGUGACCGGCGACAUUGGGACUGAGAUACGGCCCAGACUACUACGGGAGGCAGCAGUGGGGAAUAUUGCACAAUGGGCGGAAGCCUGAUGAAGAAAAGCAGCGUGCGGGAUGACGGCCUUCGGGUUGUAAAAAGAUUUAGAAUGUGAAGAAGAGUGAGUGACGGUAAUGGGUAAAGAAGCACCGGCUAACUACGUG